rnacentral:rRNA from 1 species
CAGUAGCCGCGGGAACACGGAGGGGGCUAGCGUUGUUCGGAAUUACUGGGCGUAAAGCGCACGUAGGCGGCUUGGUAAGUUAGAGGUGAAAGCCUGGAGCUCAACUCCAGAAUUGCCUUUAAGACUGCCGAGCUAGCAGGUGAGAGAGGUAAGUGGAAUUCCGAGUGUAGAGGUGAAAUUCGUAGAUAUUCGGAAGAACACCAGUGGCGAAGGCGGCUUACUGGCUCAUACUGGACGCUGAGGUGCGAAAGCGUGGGGAGCAAACAGGAUUAGAUACCCCAGUAGUCCCUGUCUCUUAUAA